GAGUAGGUUAUUAAGGGCGUAUGGUGGAUGCCUUGGCACAAAAAGGCGAUGAAGGACGUGGCGUGACUGCGAUAAGCGUCGGGGAGGUGUCUAGCAACCUUUGAUCCGGCGAUGUCCGAAUGGGGCAACCCAUGGCGAGUAAUGUCGCCAUAUCUUCAUCCGUAAGAGAUGAAGAAGUAAACCCGGGGAAGUAAAACAUUUCAGUACCCGGAGGAAAAGAAAAGAAGAAUCACUUUAUUAUUCACGGGUCCGGAUAGUCGGACUCAUGAAUAAUAUUGUGAUAAUAUUCCCCCAGUAGCGGCGAGCGAAAAGGGAAGAGUCCAAACCCGUCUGACGCUUUCGCAAGAAAGUGUCGGGUGGGGGUUGUAAGGAAUAAUCGUUUUCAUAGCAAUAUGAAAGGAAAGUAUAUAAACUGGAAAAUUGAUUAGUUGAACGGUUUUGGAAAAGCCGACCACAGAGGGUAAUAGUCCCGUAAGCGAAAAUCUUUU
rnacentral:rRNA from 1 species